CGGGGUGAGUAACGCGUGGGUAACCUGCCCUGUACAGGGGGACAACAGUUGGAAACGACUGCUAAUACCGCAUAAGCGCACAGCUUCGCAUGAAGCAGUGUGAAAAACUCCGGUGGUACAGGAUGGACCCGCGUCUGAUUAGAUAGUUGGUGAGGUAACGGCCCACCAAGUCAACGAUCAGUAGCCGGCCUGAGAGGGCGAACGGUCACAUUGGGACUGAGACACGGCCCAA
rnacentral:rRNA from 1 species